GUGUGUGUGUGGUGUGUGUUGUGUGUGUGUGUGUGUGUGUGUGGUGUGAGAGAGAGAGAGAGAGAGAGAGAGAGAGCGCGGUACUGAGAUCUGUCCUUCCUGUGAGCAGGUGUGAUGCAGUGUGUGUGAGAGUGUGUGUGAGAGUGUGUGUGAGAGUGUGUGUGAGAGUGUGUGUGAGAGUGUGUGUGAGAGUGUGUGUGAGAGUGUGUGAGAGAGUGUGUGAGAGAGUGUGUGAGAGAGUGUGUGUGAGAGUGUGAGUGAGUGUGAUUGAGUGUGCUACUGAGAUCCUGUCCUUCCUGUGAGCAGGUGUGAUGCAGUAUGUGUGUGUGUAAGAGAGAGAGAGGGAGAGGUACUGAGAUCCUGUCCUUCCUGUGAGCAGGUGUGAGAGUGUGUGUGAGAGUGUGUGUGAGAGUGUGUGUGAGAGUGUGGUGUGAGAGUGUGUGUGAGAGUGUGUGUGAGAGUGUGUGUGAGAGUGUGUGUGAGUGAGUGUGUGACUGAGAUCCUGUCCUUCCUGUGAGCAGGUGUGAUGCAGUGUGUGAUGCAGUGUGUGAUGCAGUGUGUGAUGCAGUGUGUGAUGCAGUAUGUGUGAGAGUGUGUGUGAGAGUGUGUGUGAGAGUGUGUGUGAGAGUGUGUGUGAGAGUGUGUGUGAGUGAGUGUGCUACUGAGAUCCUGUCCUUCCUGUGAGCAGGUAUGACUGAGUGAGUGUGUGAGUGUGUGUGUGAGGUACUGAGAUCCUGUCCUUCCUGUGAGCAGGUAAUGCUGCAGUGU
ensembl:lncRNA